rnacentral:snRNA from 1 species
GUGCUUCCUUCAGCAGCACGUGUACUAAAAAGCAGAAUGAUACUGAAAAGAGCAUGGCCCUUGAACAUGGAUGACAUGCAAAUGCGUGAAGCAUUCUAAAUUAAA